GGAGUGGGUUGCAAAAGAAGUAGGUAGCUUAACCUUCGGGAGGGCGCUUACCACUUUGUGAUUCAUGACUGGGGUGAAGUCGUAACAAGGUAACCGUAGGGGAACCUGCGGUUGGAUCACCUCCUUA
rnacentral:rRNA from 3 species